rnacentral:tRNA from 1 species
UGGCCGAUGGUGUAACGGUAGCACAGCAGAUUUUGGUUCUGCUUGUCUUGGUUCGAAUCCAAGUCGGCCAG